UACGUAGGGGGCUAGCGUUAUCCGGAAUUACUGGGCGUAAAGGGUGCGUAGGUGGUUUCUUAAGUCAGAGGUGAAAGGCUACGGCUCAACCGUAGUAAGCCUUUGAAACUGGGAAACUUGAGUGCAGGAGAGGAGAGUGGAAUUCCUAGUGUAGCGGUGAAAUGCGUAGAGAUAUGGAGGAACGCCAGUGGCGAAGGCGGCUUCCUGGUCUGUAACUGACACUGAGGCACGAAAGCGUGGGGAGCCAACAGGAUUAGAACCCUGGUAGUCCCUGAGCGGG
rnacentral:rRNA from 1 species